CCCUGGCCCCCAACCCCAGCUGUUUUUAAAUUUUUUAUUGAGGCAGUGUCUUACUAAGAUGCCCAGGCUGGGGUAAUAGUGAUUCCCCUGCCUAAGCUCCCUAGAGUACUGGGAUUAUAGGCAUCCACCACUUCUGACUAGCAUCCCAUUUUAUAACUGAGAAAACAUCCAGAAGCACAAACUAAAGAUGCCCAAAAUUCUAGAACGUGAAGAUCUAUCCCACCCAAAGGCCCACUAGUAUUUUAUUACAUAACUUGCUUCUUUGAAAUAGCCAUAAAUAGGACAAGGUGAGUGGUGGCCAAUGCUUGUAAUCUCAGCUACUCAGGAGGUUGAAGUAUGAGGACUGCAAGUGAGGCCAACCUGGGCAAUUUACCAAGACCCUGUCUCAAAUAGUAAAAAGGGCAGAGGAUGUAGUUCAGUGAUGAACGUUUGCCUAGCAUGCAUGUGGUUUUGGGUUUGAUCCCUAGUAAUAAAGGACAAAACAAAAAAGGUACAGGUUGAAUACCCAUAAUCUAAAAAUCUGAAAUUUUCCAAAAUCAGAAACUUUUUUAAGGCAGGUGCAGUCCAGGCUGCCCUCAAAACUCACAAUCCUCCUGUCUUAGCCUCCCCAGAGCUGAAAUUACAGGCAUAUACCUCCGAGGCCUGCCCUAAAUCAAAACAUUUUCAGUCUGGGAAUUUAGCUCAGUGGCACCUCACCUGCCUUACAAGUCCAAAGUCCUGAGUUCAAUCUCUGGUAUCAAAAAAAAUUUUUUUUUUGAGUAUGAAGAGUUUUGGACUUCAGAGGACUUUGGAUUUAGGAUUUUUGGAUUAGGGAUGUUCUAUGCAAAUAUUCCAAAAUCCAAAAUAUUUCUGUUCCUAAGCACUUUGGAUAAAGGAUUCUUGGCCUGUAAUAGGAACAGUAUAGUACAGAUGCUUUCUUUUUUUUUUUUUUUGAGAUGCUUUCUUAAAUGACCUUCGUGUUACCCACUGCAUCCUUUCUUGACCCAAUGGGUGAUAGCCACAGCAAGCAGACAGCUAGGCUAGGGUACCUUCUCCCAUCACAUGAAGUAAACGCUGUCAUGAGCUAGAUUUUAGGCUGGGUUGUGGUUCAGGGGUAGAGCACUUGCCUAGCAUGAAUAAGGCCUGAGUUUGCACCUUCACACCAUGAAAUAUAUAUAUAUAUUUUUUUUUAAUUAAAAAUUUUUAUGAAGUUAUAUUUAUCCUAUACUCUACAUGGCACUAUAAUUAUAUAACUCAAAUACUACGCCAGCCAGGGAAAUCACGUAUAAAAGUGACAACUGUCUGAAAAGCUAAAAUGAGCAAAGAAAGUGAGGUUCAUGUAGCCCCUCAGUUUAAUAUGAGGGAGGCAACGAUACACUGGGACAAAGAUCAUAAAAAUCUAGGAUUCUGCAUACACACUGCUUGGUCAGGGCAAGCUCUGCUUUAAAAAAGAAACCAGUGGGCCAGGGAUUUAGCUCAGUGGUUCUGCCACGUGCCUCAUAAGUGCAAGGUCCCAAGUUCUAGCCCCAGUACUGAAAAAAAAAGAAACUAGAAAUCUAAGCUAUGCAUUAUGAGUGAAGUUUUUUCUUGCAGUGCUAGGGAUGGAGCCCAGGGUUCUGGCCCAAGCUGGCAAGCACUCACCAUUUAGCUGCACCCUAGUGCCACGUUCUUUUUUUUGAGACAGGGUCUCACUUUGUAGUUCAGGCUGGCCCUGAACUCAUUAUGUAGCUCAGGCUAGCCUCGAAUUUGAGGCAAUCCUCCUGCCUCUGCCUCCCAAGUGUUGGGAUUACAGGCAUGAGCCACCACACCCGGCCACAUGUUCAUUUUUGGAUGCUUUCUCCAUUAAACCUUUUCUUGGCUCUCAGUUUCCUGCUGGCCUUAGCUCUGUAUGCUGGCUCAGAAUGUAUGUGCCGUGAAACCCCAGGACUGGGAGCCUGGGCAGUCAGAACUCUCCUCUGCAGGCAAGUUCCCAGGCCCCAGGCUUUAGCUAUGUGCUCCUGUGUUCCUUGCCAGACCAUUUUCUCACCUUGGUGCCUUUGCACCUGCUCCCUGACUGAAGCGCUGAGCCCCACCCAGACCACUGUAGUGUUUCCUGUUUGCUUUGCUUAGCCAUUGAUGACUCCUAUGCAUCUGUACUAUUGUGUGUGCUCGUCACCUUUCAUGCUCCCAAAACCCACAGAACUGUGUCCCAUCUCCCUCCACACUCCUAGCAUCUGCUCCUAUACCAUGUGCUGAAUGACUGUUCUACCCACUCCUCUCCCACCCUGACUUCACAAAAAAUGCAAGUUCAUCACCCUGUGCCUCAUGUGUCAGGACAGGAAAGUACCUCUAAAGAGACAGAUAUGCUAUACCCAAGAUAUACCAACUAGCUGGAAAAACACAUGAAUAGGCCAGGGAUUUAGCUCAGUGGUGCCGCCAACUGCCUCCCAAGCGCAAGGUCCCAAGUUCAAUCCCCAGUACUAAAAAAAAAAAAGAAAGAAAAACACAUGAAUAAAGCAUGGCGCCCUAAGCAUUUUUACAAACAGAUAUUUGGAGUGGGACAAAAAUUGCUGAGGAGCUUCUACCUCCAAACCUGCAAUAGCUCUACUUUUUCAAAGGUGAGUAAGACGCGGAGGAGACUAAUUCAGAGUUGGGCACUGCUGCAUUUCAGAUAUUUCUAACAUCUGGAUGCACAUGGAGAACACAGAGUGGAAGCUUUUGAGAGAAUAGCUGAAGCCCAGUAUGGUGCCACACUAACACCAUCCCAGCUAUUUGGAAGGCUGAGGCAGUUGGAUCCUAAGUUUGAGGCCAGUCUGGGCCACUUAGUGAGACCCUGUCUCAAAAUAAAAGUGAAAAGGGAUGAAGAUACAGCUCAGUGGUGGAGUGCUUGCCUGGCAUGUGGCAAGGCCCUGGGGCUCCAUCCCCAGUACGUGUACACACACACACACACGCACGCACGCACGCACGCACACACACACACACACACGAAGAGAAACAGCCAGGAGCUGUACAAUGAGAAUGGCAAGGAAUGGAGCUAGGAGGACCAGGACAAGAAAAGGUGCCCUUGGGCUUCCCUGAGACCUCCAGAACUGCCUCCCCUCCCUGCAGCCUAAACCCAGGGCUUGCUCACUUGGGAUGGCCCCUCUUCCCCAUCACUCCCUCCCCCACACCCUCCCCUGGCCCACCAUGACCAAGUGCUUUCUCUUGUCCCACACUCAGGAACUUGAGUGUCAUUGGAGGACAGUGGCCCUGGGGACACAGAUUCCUAGUCUACAGUCCUCCAGGGAAUCCUCAGGGCCUUCUGUUAUCCUCCCUGUGCUCAGGUCACUGCCCUCUCUCACUUCUCCCAUCAGCCCUGACAAAGCUUCAAAUUCUCCAUCUCUGACUCCAAUUUGCCUCCCCUCACCUGAGCAGACACAGAAGCAGCCAGGACUGGGACACCUUCCACUUGCCCAUGGGCAUCCACAACCUCCAGCUCAGCCAAAGAGCUGCUGGCCUUCUGGUCCCCUCUCUUGUCCCCCUUUUGUUUUUACCUUGUCUCCUUGGGCUGGUUCUUUCCCCUUGAUGUAUGCUAUUUCUUUCCUCCCAUUCUCUCUCCUUCUCUAGUUUUUCUGGAGUGCUGGGGAUGGAACCCAGGGAGUUGCAUGUGCUAGGCCUGAGGAGGGGGACUGCUGUAUUCUGCUCAGCUGUGCUUUCCAGUACCCCAAAGCCUUCAGAAAUGUUUGCCAAAUAUCUAAAUGAAUGGACAGCGGAGCUGGUUCUAACACUUCUGCUGGCACACCUGCUUGCACCUGCAAGUUUCUCUUGCUGUCUCAACCUCCCCAGGAGUUUAGGACCCUGAAAUUAAAAGCAAUGAUAUCACCAGGA